rnacentral:rRNA from 1 species
ACGCUCGACACCUACUGGAGGCAGCAGUGGGGGAUAUUGCACAAUGGGGGAAACCCUGAUGCAGCAACGCCGCGUGAAGGAAGACGGUUUUCGGAUUGUAAACUUCUGUUCUUAGUGACGAUAAUGACGGUAGCUAAGGAGAAAGCUCCGGCUAACUACGUGCUAGCAGCCGCGGUAAUCUGAGCGGGCUGGCAAGGC